rnacentral:tRNA from 1 species
GCUCUCAUAGCUCAGUCGGUAGAGCAUGGUGCUAAUAACGCCAGGGUCGCAGGUUCGAAACCUGCUGAGAGCAUUG